GAUGAACGCUGACAGAAUGCUUAACACAUGCAAGUCAACUGUGGCGGACGGGUGAGUAACGCGUAAAGAACUUGCCUCGCAGAUAGGGACAACAUUUGGAAACGAAUGCUAAUACCUGAUACUGUGAGAGAGCUUUGCGUCCCAUUAGCUAGUUGGAGAGGUAACGGCUCACCAAGGCGAUGAUGGGUAGCCGGCCUGAGAGGGUGAUCGGCCACAAGGGGACUGAGACACGGCCCUUACGGCUACGGGAGGCAGCAGUGGGGAAUAUUGGGCAAUGUACCAAAGUCUGAUCCAGCAAUUCUGUGUGAACGAUGAAGUUUUCGGAAUGUACAGUGCUUUCAGUUGGGAAGCGGUAUCAACCGAAGAAGUGACGGCUAACUACGUGCCAGCCGCCGCGGUAAUAC
rnacentral:rRNA from 1 species